rnacentral:rRNA from 1 species
UCUUAAUGUCGCCCUGAACAUGCUCAAUCUUGUCUGAUCUCGGAAGCUAAGCAGGGUCGGAUCUGGUUGGUACUUAGAUGGGAGACCACCUAGGAAUACCAGGUGCUAUAGGUA